rnacentral:rRNA from 1 species
UGAGGAAUAUUGGUCAAUGGGUGCAAGCCUGAACCAGCCAUCCCGCGUGAAGGACGACUGCCCUAUGGGUUGUAAACUUCUUUUGUAUAGGGAUAAACCUACCCUCGUGAGGGUAGCUGAAGGUACUAUACGAAUAAGCACCGGCUAACUCCGUGCCAGCAGCCGCGGUAAUACGGAGGGUGCAAGCGUUAUCCGGAUUUACUGGGUGUAAAGGGUGCUCAGGCGGAUUUGUAAGUCAGAGGUGAAAUCUUACAGCUUAACUGUGAAACUGCCUUUGAUACUGCAAGCCUAGAGUAUGGAAGAGAGUGAUGGAAUAUCUGGUGUUGCAGUGAAAUGCGUAGAUAUCAGAUAGAACACCAAUGGCGAAGGCAGUCACUUGGUCCAUUACUGACGCUAAAGCACGAAAGCGUGGGUAGCAAACA